rnacentral:rRNA from 1 species
AGCGAACGCUGGCGGCAGGCCUAACACAUGCAAGUCGAACGAACCUUUCGGGGUUAGUGGCGGACGGGUGAGUAACACGUGGGAACGUGCCUUUAGGUUCGGAAUAACUCAGGGAAACUUGUGCUAAUACCGAAUGUGCCCUUCGGGGGAAAGAUUUAUCGCCUUUAGAGCGGCCCGCGUCUGAUUAGCUAGUUGGUUGAGGUAAUGGCGCACCAAGGCGACGAUCAGUAGCUGGUCUGAGAGGAUGAUCAGCCACAUUGGGACUGAGACACGGCCCAAACUCCUACGGGAGGCAGCAGUGGGGAAUCUUGCGAAAUGGGCGAAAGCCUGACGCAGCCAUGCCGCGUGAAUGAUGAAGGUCUUAGGAUUGUAAAAUUCUUUCACCGGGGACGAUAAUGACGGUACCCGGAGAAGAAGCCCCGGCUAACUUCGUG